CCCUAUGGGGUGCGCUGGUAUUAACGAUAUGGUCAGGAAUUGAUUAUAUGAUCCGAUUCAGAAAGAUGGCGAUUCGUUAAUAUGGGCGGCAUUUCUUCAAAACUCGGAUUUUUACAGCAAAUCUACGAUGUUUAUGAUGAAUUUUGCUCUGGUUUGGAUAUUUUCUGCAAAAUAUUUUGUUCACAUUGCUGCAGCUGCAACGUUACACUGACAAGCCUUGAAGCAUUCAAUAUUGUUCAAUAUUUAAAGCAAACAAAUCAGACGGGUUUGCUCGAAAAACUUGAGCGACAGAUUCAGAAGCCGCGAUUUCAGCCCAAAAUAACCACAAACACCUUUGCCGCAUAUUGUAUUGAAGGCAGAGAGCCGCCUGAUGAAGAAUGUGAUCCGACUUGUUGAGC
rnacentral:rRNA from 1 species